AUCUAUGGCCAUGCUACCCUGAACAAGCCCGAUCCUGUCUGAUCUCAGAAGCUAAGCAGGGUUGGGCCUGGUUAGUACUUGGAUGGGAGACCACCUAGGAAGACCAGGUGCUGUAGGCG
rnacentral:rRNA from 1 species